rnacentral:lncRNA from 1 species
AUUGUUCUUGCUGGUGUGGUAUGUUCACGGCUGAAAAGAUGGUCAGAAGGGGAAAGGAGGAAGUGAGAAGAAAGAAACAGGGAAAUGGCUGGAGUGCGAUGGCAUGAUCUUGGCUCACGGCAAACUCCGCCUCCCUGGUUCAAGUGAUUCUCCUGCCUCAGCCUCCCGAGUAGCCGGGAUUACAGGCAUGUGCCACCAUGCCCCGUUGGCCAGGCUGGUCUCGAACACCUUACCUCAGGUGAUCCUCCCACCUUUGGGAUUACAGGCUGAGGAAUUACCAAGGAGGCAGGAGGUGGAGCAAAACACACCAAGCCUGGUGCCAAUCAUUGACAAUAUUAUGGAACUGACUCAGCGCAAGAAGACAGCUUCGACUCCUUGUGAUUUCAUCCCUAACCAAUCAGCACUCCUGGCUCACUGGCUUCCCCCAACCCACCAAAUUGUCCUUAAAAACUCUGCUCUCCAAACGCUGGGGGAGACUGAUUUGAGUAAUAAUAAAACCCUGGUCUCCUGCA